UGGGGAAUUUUGCACAAUGGGGGAAACCCUGAUGCAGCGACGCCGCGUGAUUUAGAAGGCCUUCGGGUUGUAAAAAUCUUUUUUAUGGGAUGAAAAUGACAGUACCAUAAGAAUAAGGUCCGGCUAAAUACGUGCCAGCAGCCGCGGUAAUACGUAUGGACCGAGCGUUGUCCGGAAUCAUUGGGCGUAAAGGGUACGUAGGCGGCCCAGUAAGUUAGAAGUGAAAUAAUAUAGCUCAACUAUAUAAAGCUUUUAAAACUGCUAGGCUUGAGGGAUGGAAGGGAAAGUGGAAUUCCUAGUGUAGCGGUGAAAUGCGCAGAUAUUAGGAGGAAUACCGGUGGCGAAGGCGACUUUCUGGCCAUAACCUGACGCUGAGGUACGAAAGCGUGGGUAGCAAACAGG
rnacentral:rRNA from 1 species